rnacentral:lncRNA from 1 species
UUUUGAGGUAUCUAAGAGAAAAUUAUGAAGGUGUAAAAGAGAAAUUUCCCUUUAAAUUUUGAAGAAUGUCCAUGUACACUCUUUCAUAAAAGAUGGAUCCACAAAUAAUUUUUAUUAGACAGUUAAUUAUUAUAUUCAAUUUCUCCGUUAUCAUUUGAAUCCAAAUACAUAUUUUUAUCACUUAUUUUAAUUUUAACGCUAUAAUUUUAAUCUUAUCUAAUUUUAUUGUUGUUGCGAUAUUUAAUAUCACCAAAAUCAAUUUCAUAGCCCAAUCCUUAUUCAUCAACAGCUUAACUUGACAAAUAAAAAGAUGCUAUAAAAAGCAAGAAUAUGGCAAUGACCUGUAACCUGUUGGCCAGUAUUUUUUUUUUCCUUUUUCCAUGCAGCCUUUAGCCCUUCACCGACGGUUAUUCAAUGAAGCAACUGACUCUAAUCUCUAAUACAUAUGUCCAUUAACCCUAAAUUUAACAGUGAUUAAUUAAGGAUUCUGAUAACAUGGAAGAAAGUGACUUUGGCAGAAAACAGCCUUCUUUUUUAUCUCUCUUGGUUUGAUUCUUCUUUGUUAGGCGAUGAAGCACGUCUCUAUUUUUCUCUUUUCUUUUCCAUUUCACCAUUUUAAUGAUUGGUCCACAGGUUGGAAUAACAUCUAGCUUAUGGGUUCUGUUAACUGAGUUAAUUGGCCGCCAUAAGGUGGUUUUCUUUUGUUGUUUAUUGAGUCUUUAGGUGAAAUUAUUUUUUCUUUUGUUAAUGUUUGACAUUAUGAUAUGAUUAGAUUCUUUUCUUAUUAUGUAUUUUGAUGAACUUGUAAUUAAUCUUAAAUUAAAUAAUUAUAAUCAACUGUGCAUUGUUUUUAUCAAAGGGGUAUCCUUUUUUUUCAAUGCAAAACAUGAAGUUUUUAUACUAUUAAAUUUGAAAAAAUCAAAAUGAAAUUUGAAGGAACUGAUUUUAGAUAAAGAAGAAAUAACAUAGGAUACCCAAAUUUCACACAAUUUAAUUGGCAGACUCUUCUUGUUGGGUGAAACAAAAUUAUGACUGGUGUUUCCGGCAACCCAAUUGUGAGUUGUGGUCCGAACGCAGAUCAUAGUUUUGGGACACUCAAGAAAUAGUUUGAUUCUAGUCUACAUCAGACAUUAAUGAAGUUUUGCUUUUGAAUUUGAAAAUUUUACAACACUCGAAUUGAGGAGAGAAAUCUCUCCAUUACAAGCAAAAGGAAUUGAAAGACAAUUUGGUUCCAAAUUCUGCACGCCAACAGUCGGUCCAUCUGGCAACACAACAAUGUUAGCCUCCGUUGACUAACCAUAUCUCGCUGCUGAUUGACACGGCCAUGAAUAGCUCUUCCUUCGUAACUUACAGUAGGAGGCAAAUUAAGACCAACCGGGCACUGAAGUGACUAAUUUAAGCGAAUUGACUGUUGUUUCACUUGAAUAGCAGAUAGAAAUCGAUUCUUAUGAUGCUAUUACAUCGUUUGAAACUGAAUUUUUUUUACCAAUCAUCUGAAUGAAUCUUAUGUUAAAUUAGAAUUCAUGGCUUUCUUAUAGCUUAAAUGUAAAAUUUUGACGGCUAAAUUAUUUG